rnacentral:lncRNA from 1 species
UUUUGUGUUAAUCUAAUAGUGUAAUUGAAUGAUAUCUAGGUUUUAGUAUAAGGAGGUAUUAAAAGUUGGCAGUUUGAGAUUGAGUAGGGUUUCUAAGUUAUAUGAAGAUCUACUAGUCAGAUCAAGAUAAAAUUUGGCAUGGUAUUAGAAGACUUUAAUAUCAAGCUAUGUACUAAUUUUGAAUUAAAAUUAAGAAUUAGAAAUAGAAAAAUUACUACUAAAAAAUUUGUAUCAACUUUUAAGUUGGAAACUAAUGUGGUUUUGGAUUUUUUUUUCAUAAUUUGUAAGUUAUAUUGGAUUGAAUAAUUUUUAAAUA